UACGAAGGGGGCUAGCGUUGCUCGGAAUUACUGGGGCGUAAAGCGCACGUAGGCGGCUUUCUAAGUCGGGGGUGAAAUCCUGGAGCUCAACUCCAGAACUGCCUUCGAUACUGGAAGCUCGAGUCCGGGAGAGGUGAGUGGAACUGCGAGUGUAGAGGUGAAAUUCGUAGAUAUUCGCAAGAACACCAGUGGCGAAGGCGGCUCACUGGCCCGGUACUGACGCUGAGGUGCGAAAGCGUGGGGA
rnacentral:rRNA from 1 species